CCCUUAGAGUUUGAUCCUGGCUCAGAAUGAACGUUGGCGGCAUGGAUUAGGCAUGCAAGUCGUGCGAGAACCCUCCUUCGGGAGGGGGACAGCGGCAAACGGGGUAGUAAGGCGUCGGUGACGUGCCCUCGGGUCCGGGAUAGCCGCGGGAAACUGCGGGUAAUACCGGAUGACCUCUCCGGAGCAAAGGUGAGACUCCGCCCGAGGAGCGGCUGACGUGAUACCAGCUAGUUGGUAGGGUAACGGCCUACCAAGGCUUAGACGUCUAGGGGGUGUGAGAGCAUGGCCCCCACCACUGGGACUGAGACACCGCCCAGACACCUACGGGUGGCUGCAGUCGAGAAUCUUCGGCAAUGGGCGCAAGCCUGACCGAGCGAUGCCGCGUGCGGGAUGACGGCCCUUGGGUUGUAAACCGCUGUCAGAGGGGAUGAAAGCGGCGCGAAGAGCGUCGCUUGACAGAGCCUCAGAGGAAGCCCGGGCUAAGUACGUGCCAGCAGCCGCGGUAACACGUACUGGGCGAACGUUAUUCGGAAUCACUGGGCUUACAGGGUGCGUAGGCGGCUCAUCAGGUUC
rnacentral:rRNA from 1 species